CCUACGGGUGGCAGCAGUGGGGAAUAUUGGGCAAUGGAGGAAACUCUGACCCAGCAACGCCGCGUGAAUGAAGAAGGCCCUCGGAUUGUAAAGUUCUGUAGUCAAGGAAGAAUAUAAUGACGGUACCUUAAGAAUAAGCUCCGGCUAACUACGUGCCAGCAGCCGCGGUAAUACGUAGGGAGCAAGCGUUGUUCGGAAUGACUGGGCGUAAAGGGUGCGUAGGCGGUUAUAUAAGUUAGAAGGGAAAUACCGGGGGCUUAACCAGGGUACUGCUUCUAAAACUGUAAGACUUGAGUGCAGUAGAGGUAGGCGGAAUUAGUAGUGUAGCGGUGGAAUGCGUAGAUAUUAGGAAGAACACCGGUGGCGAAGGCGGCUUACUGGACUGCAACUGACGCUGAGGCACGAAAGUGUGGGGAGCAAACAGGAUUAGAUACCCUAGUAGUC
rnacentral:rRNA from 1 species